rnacentral:rRNA from 1 species
GACGAACGCUGGCGGCGUGCCUAAUACAUGCAAGUAGAACGCUGAAGGAAGGAGCUUGCUCUUUCUGGAUGAGUUGCGAACGGGUGAGUAACGCGUAGGUAACCUGCCUGGUAGCGGGGGAUAACUAUUGGAAACGAUAGCUAAUACCGCAUAAAAUUGAUUAUUGCAUGGUAGUCAAUUAAAAGGUGCAACUGCACCACUACCAGAUGGACCUGCGUUGUAUUAGCUAGUUGGUGGGGUAACGGCUCACCAAGGCGACGAUACAUAGCCGACCUGAGAGGGUGAUCGGCCACACUGGGACUGAGACACGGCCCAGACUCCUACGGGAGGCAGCAGUAGGGAAUCUUCGGCAAUAGACGGAAGUCUGACCGAGCAACGCCGCGUGAGUGAAGAAGGUUUUCGGAUCGUAAAGCUCUGUUGUAAGAGAAGAACGAGUGUGAGAGUGGAAAGUUCACACUGUGACGGUAUCUUACCAGAAAGGGACGGCUAACUACGUG